UUACAUCUUAAAUGCACAUUCAGGGCCUCAAAGCAGCGUCUCUUGGUGUUGUAUUAGAAAAAGGUGUGUGGGGGGGGGAUCAGUCCUGCAAUGCAACUGUGUACACACUUGACAAAUAUGCAAAAGAGGGCAUAAAUAAAAGCAGCAGAAGAUCCAAAGGCAGUAACAAUGAAGUUAUACAGGAGAUAUGAAGAGACGAUUAACUGCCUAAGUUACAGGACCUGACUCAAUCAUUUGAGGUUAAUGUCUUUAUUGGAAGAAAAGAAGUUCAGAAGUCAAGGACUUGCAGGGACACACCGACAUAGCACCAAGACUGAAGAAAAGAAUUAUUACCACCACCAACAGGCAUAAUGCUAGCUGCCAUCGAGGUGAGCCAAGGUCAUGGAUACCACUGCUUUCAUGCAGAUGUAGAACUCCUCGUCUAGACCAAAAGGGAAGAGGGCUAGCAAUGCAUAAGCAAGGGAAGCAUGUGGAUCAAUGUGUAUGGGGCACACAGUCAGAGAUCUUCCAUUGUUAGAAAUGAUGGUGUGAGCUUUGUUUUAUUUUUUCAAGAACACCUAAUAGCUAAAACCUGCAAAAACACAAUGAAGAUUGAAGACAAACUUCUAAAUAUGCUUAUCUGAAAAAGGUUUCUUCAACCAAAUGUAACUCUACAUAUGGACUGGGCUCAUUCAAAGUCAACCUACCACUUCUCAUCUCAAGCCACAUCAAAUAUCAGAUGUUCAAGGUAUAUCUACAUUGUAAUCCAGGAAAAUGUGAUUGUAGCUCGCAUAGACGUAUAGGAGCUAAUUUUAAUUUCACUACUUAAUGUACUGUUGGCAUUGAAUCUGUGCCAAUAUGCUUAAUGUGGACUAGUUUGACAGCCCACAUUGUACCUUGGGCUACUCUAGCUACAUUUAUCUGUAUUCAAGCUUGCUGGUUUAAAGCUAACUUGGGUAGGUCUACACAUGCUGAAAUCACAGUUUUCAACUGCAGUCUGGAUCAACCCUCAGAAAAGUUAAACUUGAUCCUACUUCCAUUACUUCCCUUGAACUGUCAAUUUGUGCAAGCAUUCUUCUGAAUCAUUAAAUGUGUGUAUUUC